GGAGCGGUAGUUCAGUUGGUUAGAAUACCUGCCUGUCACGCAGGGGGUCACGGGUUCAAGCCCCGUCCGUUCCGCCA
rnacentral:tRNA from 1 species